rnacentral:rRNA from 1 species
GGGUCAGUAGGUUGGUCGUGUCACCGGUACGUACUGGUCUCACUGAUUCCUCCUUCCUGAAGAACCGUAAUGCCAUUAAUUUGGUGUUGCGGGGAAACAGGACUGUUACUUUGAAAAAAUUAGAGUGUUUAAAGCAAGCCAACGCUUGAAUACAUUAGCAUGGAAUAAUGAAAUAGGACGAUCGAUCCUAUUUUGUUGGUUUCUAGGAUUGACGUA